GAAAGGCAACUGAAGUCUGAAUGUGGUCCUGUGGGAUGAAACCUUGGAGCCCUUCAGGCUGCUUGAAGUUUGUUCAUUGAUCUAACUGGAGACUUCUACUUAUGUGUUUUCAGAAGAAUGAGUUCUUCAGCAAGCUUGUAGAAGUGAAGCAGCCAAUACACUUCAGCAAGACAGAGGAGAAUGUCUUUUCUUCACCCCUCAGGGAAAAGGCUGGUGUUCAUCUGGAUCUCACCCUGCUGUGGGCGGCUGGGCUGUGCAUAGAUGAUGUCCUCUACAACAGCAGAUGAUGCCCAUUUGAAUUUUGCUUAGUCUACAUGCUUGAAAGUCAUUUGACAAUAUCAACUUGAGAUUUCAAUAUUGGAUAUUAAAAACACAAACAAAGCAUAACAGUGUUUUAUAUUGUAGGAAACUCUAUCUGAUCAAUAAUGUAUCCCUUCUUAAUUAUUCAAUGUUAUUUAGUGAAAAUUUUAUGCCUACUGGAAUAUUAAUAUGAUAUAACAACUGUAAAUACUCCCAUUUUAAUUAAAAUACUUUGAGAAAAUCUUGAUAUGUGGAUAGUCAGGAGAAAGCAAAGUAUU